rnacentral:lncRNA from 1 species
UCACAUAUUUUGUAAAUUUUGCAAUUUAGUCCUAAAAAUCAAAUUGGACACUCUAACAACAAAAUUUCUUAACGAAACUUUCACUCAAUCAUGCAAACAUAUCAUAGACCUCAACAAAUUCAUAAAAUAAUUAUUUCUACUUCGAAUUUGUGGCCUCGAAACUACUAUUCCGAUUAGGCUCAAAAUCGAGAAUUUACAACUCUCCCC